GAGAUACAGGUCUAUGUAACUGUAAGACACAGGGCUCGAGAAAGGGAUGGAAAGUGAGUUCACCUGAUCUUGGAAGCUGAGAACGGGCUGACCUGGUUGGAAGGUGGAUGGAGAAGAAGCAGCAAGGAACUCCUCAUGGGUUGGAUGAGGCCCAGCUCUGCUCCAUGGGAGUCAAGGUGAUGGGGAGAAAGUUGAGUGAUGACCCAAAAGACGUUUGCAUUUCUAGCAGUGUCCAUGGCUCAGCUGCAGCCCAGGAAGUGCCCAGGUCCUGGGUACAUAGCGACGGGAGGAGCAUUGAUCUGCUAGAAGCUGUGCCAAGGUCCGUGGGAACCGCAACCCCUUCCCCUCGACAUCUUGCCAGCAGCACUGGAUUAAUCUCUGAGAACAAGCACUCUGGGUUCCCAGAGGCAAAACAGGCUUUUGAUUUCUAUGAGCUAAGACUCCUCUGCAGGAGCGUGGUCUUGUGCCUUACUGUCAUUGCUUCUUACAAGGAUCACAUAAGCCAAAGAUCCCAGGAACCUCCUGUGGGCAAAUAAGAAGAACAGGGUAAAGUUGUGGGGUGGACAAGGGAGUGACGCUGGAUACAGCUAUUCCUGAAAGCGCUUACACUUGACACUAAGUUAAUAGAGUCUCUCUCUCACUC
rnacentral:lncRNA from 1 species